rnacentral:rRNA from 1 species
UUUGCAUAUCCAAUAGCGGAGGAAAAGAAACCAACAGGGAUUGCCUCAGUAGCGGCGAGUGAAGCGGCAAGAGCUCAGAUUUGAAAUCUCACCUAGUGUGCGAGUUGUAAAUUGCAGGUUGGAGUCUCGGGUUAGACGUGUGUGCAAGUCCCUUGGAACAGGGUGCCACUGAGGGUGAGAGCCCCGUAUCGUGCAUGUCGACACCUGUGAGGCCCUUCUGACGAGUCGAGUUGUUUGGGAAUGCAGCUCUAAGUGGGUGGUAAAUUCCAUCUAAGGCUAAAUAUUGGCGAGAGACCGAUAGCGAACAAGUACUGUGAAGGAAAGAUGAAAAGCACUUUGAAAAGAGAGUGAAACAGCACGUGAAAUUGUUGAAAGGGAAGGGUAUUGGGCUCGACAUGGGAUUUACGCAUCGUUGCCUCUCGUGGGCGGCGCUCUGGGUUUUUCCUGGGCCAGCAUCGGUUUUCGUUGCAGGAUAAGGACAAUUGGAAUGUGGCUCCUCGGAGUGUUAUAGCCUUUUGUAGAUGCUGCGUAUGGGGACCGAGGGCUGCGGCGGACUUGUUUCGUCUCGGAUGCUGGCACAACGGCGCAAUACCGCCCGUCUUGAACCACGGACCAAAA